rnacentral:lncRNA from 10 species
ACUCUUGAGGAUACUUUCUUGCCACUGUCAGGCUUACUCCUGCCUCCUAGACUGAGGAAAGAAAAGCCUCCUGGUUUGGAGCUCAUAAUCAAGUCAGCCUUGCUGCAGGGCUCAUUUUAAGCCAGUAUCCUGGACCAGAUGCCAUUAAGAAUAUUUAAUUCAUGGGAGGAGGUCAAAAUAUCAACAUUAGCUGGAUUUUGGAAAAAGUGGAUUCCAACCCUCAGUGGACGACUUUGUGGAAUUCAAGACUCCAAUAGAGGAAGUCACCACAAAUAGCAAAAGAACAAGAAUUACCUGUGCAGCCUGAAGACGGGACUGAAUUGCUGCAAUUGUAACAUCAAAUGUUAAAUCUGAACCAGACCAUGUCCUGAAACAAAAGAGGAAGAAUCUUUGGGGAGCUGUGCUGAUGGUUUUGGAUUUCUCCAAAGGAAGAAUGCUUUGCCUGAGUCUUGUAUCCUUGGAAUUAUUAGGAAUGUUUGCCAUUAAAUAAGAUCUGAUUCAUGUGAGUUUGAGUUGACAGCUCUACCCUAUGUGUUAUCUCAGAACUCUAUACAGCAAACUAUAGAAUAUUGUUGAGAUAAAUUAAAUGAAACCUUUCCAAAUGGAAAGAUAUAUAUCAUUUUAUAGAUUGGAAAACUUAAUACUAAAAAGUGAUAGAUUCAAUACAAUGGAAUCUAUUGUUUCUAAAAUGUGCAUUUGUGUUAGUUUAUGUAUGUAUAUAAAAAUUGAAAAGCUAAUUUUAAAAAUACACAUGAAAAUAAAAGGGCCAAGAAG